rnacentral:rRNA from 2 species
UUAAAUUGAAGAGUUUGAUCAUGGCUCAGAUUGAACGCUGGCGGCAGGCCUAACACAUGCAAGUCGAACGGUAACAGGAAACAGCUUGCUGUUUCGCUGACGAGUGGCGGACGGGUGAGUAAUGUCUGGGAAACUGCCUGAUGGAGGGGGAUAACUACUGGAAACG